CGAACUUCCGUUAAUUGAUUAUGACGUGCUUGCACUGAAUGAGAUUUUAACACGAAGUGAGUGGCGGACGGGUGAGUAACACGUGGGUAACCUGCCCAGAAGCAGGGGAUAACACCUGGAAACAGAUGCUAAUACCGUAUAACAGAGAAAACCGCCUGGUUUUCUUUUAAAAGAUGGCUCUGCUAUCACUUCUGGAUGGACCCGCGGCGCAUUAGCUAGUUGGUGAGGUAACGGCUCACCAAGGCGAUGAUGCGUAGCCGACCUGAGAGGGUAAUCGGCCACAUUGGGACUGARACACGGCCCARACUCCUACGGGAGGCAGCAGUAGGGAAUCUUCCACAAUGGACGCAAGUCUGAUGGARCAACGCCGCGUGAGUGAAGAAGGGUUUCGGCUCGUAAAGCUCUGUUGUUAAAGAAGAACGUGGGUGA
rnacentral:rRNA from 1 species